CGACGAGAAGCAAAAUAUGCGUCCUAUCUGUUAACUAGGAAGCUGUGUUGGGUAGACACCUUGUUGG
rnacentral:tRNA from 1 species